rnacentral:rRNA from 1 species
GCAGCGGAAAGCUCAGUAACACGUGGCCAAACUACCCUGUGGAUGGGAACAAUCUCGGGAAACUGAGGCUAAUUCCCAAUAACGCUCCACCCCUGGAACGGGCGGAGCUGGAAACGCUACGGCGCCACAGGAUGUGGCUGCGGUCGAUUAGGUAGACGGUGGGGUAACGGCCCACCGUGCCAAUAAUCGGUACGGGUUGUGAGAGCAAGAGCCCGGAGACGGAAUCUGAGACAAGAUUCCGGGCCCUACGGGGCGCAGCAGGCGCGAAACCUUUACACUGUACGCAAGUGCGAUAAGGGGACUCCGAGUGUGAAGGCAUAGAGCCUUCACUUUUGUACACCGUAAGGUGGUGUACGAAUAAGGGCUGGGCAAGACCGGUGCCAGCCGCCGCGGUAAUACCGGCAGCCCGAGUGAUGGCCGAUAUUAUUGGGCCUAAAGCGUCCGUAGCUGGCCGGACAAGUCCGUUGGGAAAUCUGUUCGCUUAACGAGCAGGCGUCCAGCGGAAACUGUUCGGCUUGGGACCGGAAGACCUGAGGGGUACGUCCGGGGUAGGAGUGAAAUCCUGUAAUCCUGGACGGACCACCGGUGGCGAAAGCGCCUCAGGAGGACGGAUCCGACAGUGAGGGACGAAAGCUAGGGUCUCGAACCGGAUUAGAUACCCGGGUAGUCCUAGCUGUAAACGAUGCCCGCUAGGGGUGGUGCAGGCUACGAGGCUGCGUUGUGCCGUAGGGAAGCCGAGAAGCGAGCCGCCUGGGAAGUACGUCUGCAAGGAUGAAACUAAAAGGAAUGGGCGGGGGGAGCACUAACACCGAAGGAGCCUGCGGUUUAUUGACUCACGCCGGACAUCUCACCAGAUCCGAUAGUAGUAUUGACGAGUCAGGUUGAUGACUUUA